rnacentral:lncRNA from 1 species
AUUUACCGGAGAGUCCAGCUCCGUUGAGACCAAGAUACUCUAAGCUUUGAAUAUCUCCAUAACUCUCUGGAAUCUCUCCGCUGAAGAAAUUUCCACCGAAAGAGAGGUAUUUAAGCUUCUUAAGCUCUGACAUCUCCGGUGGUAACUUACCGUUGAAAUUGUUGUUAUAAGUGUCAAGAACUUCAAGAUCAACCAUAGCUUUUAAAAUCUCUCCAGGGAAUGUUCCAGUAAGGUUACCAUUGUUGGAGAUAUUCAAAACCUUGAGAGAAGUUAGACUCUUCAUCUCCAAUGGUAAUUCACCGGUGAAGUUGUUGGCAGCUAAAGUUAGA